rnacentral:rRNA from 1 species
GCACAAGCGGUGGAUGAUGUGGAUUAAUUCGAUGCAACGCGAAAACCUUACCUACCCUUGACAUGUCUGGAACUUGGCAGAGAUGCCUUGGUGCCUUCGGGAGCCAGAACACAGGUGCUGCAUGGCUGUCGUCAGCUCGUGUCGUGAGAUGUUGGGUUAAGUCCCGCAACGAGCGCAACCCUUACCAUUAGUUGCCAUCAUUUAGUUGGGCACUCUAAUGGGACUGCCGGUGACAAACCGGAGGAAGUGGGGAUGACGUCAAGUCCUCAUGGCCCUUAUGGGUAGGGCUUCACACGUCAUACAAUGGUCGGUACAGAGGGUUGCCAAGCCGCGAGGUGGAGCUAAUCUCAGAAAGCCGAUCGUAGUCCGGAUCGCAGUCUGCAACUCGACUGCGUGAAGUCGGAAUCGCUAGUAAUCGUGGAUCAGAAUGUCACGGUGAAUACGUUCCCGGGUCUU